UGGGAAUAUUGGACAAUGGGGCAACCCUGAUCCAGCAAUGCCGCGUGUGUGAAGAAGGUCUUCGGAUUGUAAAGCACUUUCGACGGGGACGAUGAUGACGGUACCCGUAGAAGAAGCCCCGGCUAACUUCGUGCCAGCAACCGCGGUAAUACGAAGGGGGCUAGCGUUGCUCGGAAUGACUGGGCGUAAAGGGCGUGUAGGCGGUUUACACAGUCAGAUGUGAAAUCCCCGGGCUUAACCUGGGAGCUGCAUUUGAUACGUGUAGACUAGAGUGUGAGAGAGGGUUGUGGAAUUCCCAGUGUAGAGGUGAAAUUCGUAGAUAUUGGGAAGAACACCGGUGGCGAAGGCGGCAACCUGGCUCAUGACUGACGCUGAGGCGCGAAAGCGUGGGGAGCAAACAGGAUUAGAUACCCUGGUAGUCCACGCUGUAAACGAUGUGUGCUAGAUGUUGGGUAACUUUGUUAUUCAGUGUCGCAGUUAACGCGUUAAGCACACCGCCUGGGGAGUACGGCCGCAAGGUUGAAAA
rnacentral:rRNA from 1 species